GCUGGGAGGUGUAGUCCCUCAGGGAAGCGGUCGCGAUUCUUCGGGGUGGGGUCCCCGAGCUUGGGGGGUUCCAGGCUUUGGGGCAGGCUUCGGGGCAGUUACCUGGCUGGGAGGUGGCGGAAGAACCUGACUUCCCACUGCCUGGCGCCGGCGAGAUGCGGGGGCAGGUCUGAGGCCCCGGGUCGCCGCUGUCUCUGCGGUUGGGGGAAGUCACCCAGCUAGCGUGGGACAGGGUCGGCACCCCCAGCAGGAAACAGCAGCGACGAGCCAGAGCGGAGUCGCCUGCAGCUGCGCGCAGGACGUGCACAGGUGCGCGGUACGCACAGGCCCUAGGGACCCGGUGGGGAUCUUAAGCACCAACGAACAGUCAGACCUAACUCAUAAACAAACAUCAUCACGGCCUGCCCUGUCAGAAGCGCAGCCAAGCAACAACAACAACAAAAAAAGGCGAGGAGGUAGACCCACUUGAGAUGGUUCUGUUGCGGAGAGUCUCUGAAAUCAGAAAGCGCCAGUCCGCAAAAACGAGGAAACCCGACGUGUCCGGCGGAAGGAACCGCCAGUACAAAGGCCCUGAGGCGAGAAAGAGAUUGGUCACUGAAAGAACUCAAAGAAGUCCUGUGUGGCUGGAGUAUAGCUGCGGGUUAGUGCUGGCAGGUGAAGACAGAGAAGCAAACCCAGGUCAGGUCCGGUUGGGCCUCGGGAGGGCCUCCGUGUGGAGUCUGCACUUCAUUCUAAGUGUAUACCUAACCCAUCGCCACGAUUUCCCCUCCUUCACACUACCCUGCUACGUCUCCUUAUUAGGCGUAAUAAAAUUAUGUGGCUUUGUAAGAAAUUGGUUUUUAGAGAUGCAUGUUAAAGUAUUGGGUAUGAAAUGUCAUGAUUUGUCUAAUUUACUUUAAAAUACUUCUGCCAUAAUAAAUGAAUAGAAUUAACAACUUGAUAUUAGUUGACAAUAUCUAAUAAUAUCUAAGUUAUUAGAAAUUAGUUAACAGUAACUUCUUUUUUUGAGACAGGGUCUCACUGUGUCACCCAGGCUGGAGUGCGGUGGUGAAAUCUCGGCUCACUGCAGCCUCCACUUCCCGGGUUCAAGUGAUUCUCCUGCCUCAGCCUCCCGAGUAACUGGGAUUACAGGCGUGUGCCACAUGCCUGGCUAAUUUUCAUAUUUUUAGUAGAGAUGAGGUUUCGCCUUGUUGGCCAGGCUGGUCUUGAACUCCUGACCUCAAGUAAUCUGCCCGCCUCGGCCUCCCAAAGUGCUGGGAUUACAGAAGUGAGCCACCAUGCCCAGCCAACAGUAACUUCUUAAUAUCAUCUAAUAGCUAGUCCACAUCCAGAUUUCCCCAAUUGUCCCAAAUAUAUAUAUAUAUACACAUAUAGACAGGGUCUCACUCUGUCCCCCAGGCUACAAUCAUGGGUCAUUGCAGCCUCCGACCUCCCGGGCUCAAGUGAUCCUCAGCCUCAGCCUCCCAAGUAGCUGGGACUACAGGCACACACCACCACGCCUGGCUAAUUCAUGUUUUGUAAGGAUGUGGUCUCACUAUGUUGCCUGGGCCAGCCUCAAACUCCUGGGCUCAAGCCAUCCCCCGACCUCGGGGUCCCAAAGUGUUGGGAUUACAGGCGUGAGCCACCGCGCCUGGCUGGAUUAUAUCUUUUUAAUAAUUUUAAAUCUAGAUGAAACCACCUUCCCUCUCCCACCCACUUCAUCCCCUUCUUUUAUCUUCAUGAUACCUUUCUGAAGAGUCUCAGCCAGUUGUUGUUUGAGAUAGAUGCUGCAUCACAUUCUCAAUUUGUCUGAAUGUAUCCUCAGGGUGUCACUGAUAUUGUCACAGAGAUUGGUCCUCUAUCUGUGGUUCAUCCUGCAUGCUGGGAAUUAGAUCUAAAGGCUUGAUUAUAUAAAUAUUCAGGGAUACUUCCUAGGUGCUGCUCUGUACUUCGUUGUUUUUUGUUUUGUUUUGUUUUAUUUGAGAUGGAGUCUUGCUCUGUCACCCAG
rnacentral:lncRNA from 1 species